GAUGAAGAACGUAGCGAAAUGCGAUACGUAAUGUGAAUUGCAAAUUCAGUGAAUCAUCGAGUCUUUGAACGCACAUUGCGCCCCCUGGUAUUCCGGGGGGCAUGCCUGUCCGAGCGUCAUUGCUGCCCUCAAGCACGGCUUGUGUGUUGGGCCCCGUCCUCCGAUCCCGGGGGACGGGCCCGAAAGGCAGCGGCGGCACCGCGUCCGGUCCUCGAGCGUAUGGGGCUUUGUCACCCGCUCUGUAGGCCCGGCCGGCGCUUGCCGAUCAACCCAAAUUUUUAUCCAGGUUGACCUCGGAUCAGGUAGGGAUACCCGCUGAACUUAGGCAUAUCAAUAAGCGGAGGA
rnacentral:misc_RNA from 1 species